rnacentral:rRNA from 1 species
UCUUCUUGUUGCAGAAAUCCCCGUGCCACUCGCUACCCGCGCUGAUCGUGCGCCACAGCUCCUCGUAGAAUCCUCGAGGCUGAGCCCCGGACUUGAGAACGCGCGGGUUCUGUCCGAUGGCCUCCUCCGCGGUGUAGCCGGUAACCUCGGUGAACUUGGGAUUCACGUACUCGAUGGUCCCGUCGAGGUCU